rnacentral:rRNA from 1 species
CCUAUACAUGCAGUCGAGCGGACAGAAGGGAGCUUGCUCCCGGAUGUUAGCGGCGGACGGGUGAGUAACACGUGGGUAACCUGCCUGUAAGACUGGGAUAACUCCGGGAAACCGGAGCUAAUACCGGAUAGUUCCUUGAACCGCAUGGUUCAAGGAUGAAAGACGGUUUCGGCUGUCACUUACAGAUGGACCCGCGGCGCAUUAGCUAGUUGGUGGGGUAAUGGCUCACCAAGGCGACGAUGCGUAGCCGACCUGAGAGGGUGAUCGGCCACACUGGGACUGAGACACGGCCCAGACUCCUACGGGAGGCAGCAGUAGGGAAUCUUCCGCAAUGGACGAAAGUCUGACGGAGCAACGCCGCGUGAGUGAUGAAGGUUUUCGGAUCGUAAAGCUCUGUUGUUAGGGAAGAACAAGUGCGAGAGUAACUGCUCGCACCUUGACGGUACCUAACCAGAAAGCCACGGCUAACUACGUGCCAGCAGCCGCGGUAAUACGUAGGUGGCAAGCGUUGUCCGGAAUUAUUGGGCGUAAAGGGCUCGCAGGCGGUUUCUUAAGUCUGAUGUGAAAGCCCCCGGCUCAACCGGGGAGGGUCAUUGGAAACUGGGAAAUUGAGUGCAGAAGAGGAGAGUGGAAUUCCACGUGUAGCGGUGAAAUGCGUAGAGAUGUGGAGGAACACCAGUGGCGAAGGCGACUCUCUGGUCUGUAACUGACGCUGAGGAGCGAAAGCGUGGGGAGCGAACAGGAUUAGAUACCCUGGUAGUCCACGCCGUAAACGAUGAGUGCUAAGUGUUAGGGGGUUUCCGCCCCUUAGUGCUGCAGCUAACGCAUUAAGCACUCCGCCUGGGGAGUACGGUCGCAAGACUGAAACUCAAAGGAAUUGACGGGGGCCCGCACAAGCGGUGGAGCAUG